rnacentral:lncRNA from 1 species
GUCCCUAAUCCCAGCCGGGCACGAGGACAGCGCUCGGGAGCGACCGCAGCCUCCGACCCCGGCUGGGCCCGCCAGGGUUUCUGCUCACGCAGCCGUCCGGGGGCGCCCGGCGCGCAGCCCCGGGUGGGUGGUCCUGGCGAGCGGGACUGCGAGGCCGACCGUCCCCUCCCCGGGACCGCCAAGGGGCGCGGGCUGGGGCGCGUGGCGGGCGGGGCGGGGGCGGGCGCGAGGGCGGAGUCGCGGCCGAGGCUGCGGUGUCCGGAGCACGGCUCAGGGGCCGCAGUGGCCGCCGCGGAGCGAGGCUGCCUGGAGAGAGCGUCCGGGCGCAGAAGGGUUAACGGGCCACCGGGGCGCGCAGAGCAGUCACACAGUAAAGUUGGAAAACAGACCCACGACCUCCCCGCGCGGGCAGCGCCUCCUGCCUUCUCCCUAGGAGGGUGCUCUCGGACGGUGUGCCCCCCGCCCCCCUACUGCAACUCCUGGAGUUGGAGGACAGGGUCGCCGCGAGGGACGCAGUGUGGAGAGGUGUGGCCCGGAGGAGCCCACGUUUGUCCAGACCAAGGUCUAUUCUGGCACCAACCUCUGACCUCUCCUUUCCUCGUCCUGAGCCGUGAACGACACCAAAUGAGGGACAUGGAAAGGGCUGGAGUAACAGAGUCAGGCAGAGGCUGAACACUUGGGUGGAACAUGGGCCCUUCUCUGGAGACCCUGACCUCCCCCGUUCAGUCAGGGUGGAGUUGCUGACCUCAGUGGCCGGCCCAGCCAGGGGAAUGAGUGGCCAUCGGCAACCCCCUCCCCAACCCUAAACCGUGAGGCACGCCCGCUCUGGCUCAGCCACCCUGACCCCUCCCUCAAAUUUUGAGCCCUAGGUCUCAGGGAGGGCAGUGGGGCUCAGUGUCUGCCCCCAGGCACAUUCCUUCCCUUCUCUUGGUCAUUUUCUGCCCCAGAGCUGGCCCACCUCAGCAAUUCGAGGGCUCCCUGGAUUCCUUUCCCGGGUGCCUUUCAGAUCCAACAGAAACAGAUUUUUUUUUUUCCUGGAAAGCAGACCUAAGAGUGGGAUGAGGAGCAGGGGUGGGAAGGCCUCUAAGUGAGAAGGGGGCAAGGAGAGUCAGGCUUUGUGGCUGGAGAGGGUUCCAAGCCUCACCUCUCCAGUGUUCAAAGCUGAACUUCAGAUGGACUUCCUGGCUCUUCAGAAUGAGAGACCUGUGGCUGGGGCAUGAGGCAGCCCUGGCUGCACCUCUCCUUCCCGCUUCCCCAGCUGGUAGAGCCACACAGGAAACAAGCCCUCACUGAACCAAUGCCAGAUGCUGACACCCAGAGUGGGUGUUACAUUGCCGGCUUCUUCUCUAGAGAUUUUUUUUUUUUUUUUUUUUUUUUGAGACGGAGUCUUGCUCUGUCGCCCAGGCUGGAGUG